AUCUGCUGAGGCCACAGCCUCAGCCUUGCAGGGCUCACCCAGGGGUGCCUCAGUCUGGUGGAUGUUCAGUGUCCCCCCUCAAACCCCUCCUUCCAUGGUGCUCCUUCCCUGGGGGCUCCACGUGGGUAAUUCCUUUUUUUCCCUCUUUUUCCCAAGCCCUGGCUCUGCCCCCAGCGUGUCCCUGGGCACGACCUGGGAGGAAAGUGUGUUUGUGUGUGGGAAUGGGGAUUCUGUUUGCUCAGAGCAGAGCAGUGAAUUCUCCAUUUGGAAAAUCUUCCUGGGUGCUGGGGCAGGGAUUGACUGCAGGGCAUGGAGAGCUGGAAUGCCCAGCAGGGAUGGCACAGGGAUUGUGCCACGGUGGCAGUGCCACCUGCCCAGCGUGAGCCCCCUGUCCCCAGGGAGAAGGGAAGGUUGUGCCUUUGUGUCUGGGCUGAAAAAAGAACAUUUUGCUGCAUUUCCCUGGGGUUCUGCUCCAUGCCCUGCUGCACAAAGCUGUCGUCAGGAUAGCACAGAAUUUAUCACUUAUUUCCCCCUGGGUCUGCCUUAGUUCUGGCCAAUGUUCCCUGCAGUCAAUCCUGUGCAGAGGAGUGCCCCAAACUGCAGCAGCUUUAUUUUUGGGAGCCCUCACAGCAAACGGAGCAGGCAGCAGGUGCUGGGUGCCUGGCACGGGCAGUGCUGGAGAGCCAGCCCCACCUGGCAGAUGGCACAGAAUCAAUGAGAGAAUCAGUCACAGAAUUGGGGAAUCAAUCACAGAAUUGGGGAAUCAAUCAUAGAAAUGGGGAAUCAAUCACAGAAAUGGGGAAUCAGUCACAGAAUUGGGGAAUCAAUCACAGAAUUGGGGAAUCAAUCACAGAAUUGGGGAAUCAAUCACAGAAUUGGGGAAUCAAUCACAGAAAUGGGGAAUCAAUCACGGAAUCAGGGAAUCAAUCACAGAAAUGGGGAAUCAAUCACAGAAAUGGGCAAUCAGUCACAGAAUCAGGGAAUCAGUCAGAAUCAAUGGCACACAAUCACACAAUCACAUAAUCAAUCAUAUAAUCAAUCACAUACACAAUCACACACACACACACAAUCACACACAAUCAGAAUCACACACACAAUCACACACACAAUCCCACACACAGUCACCAGGUUGGAAGGGACCUCCACGACCAUCGAGUCCAACCCGGCCCCAACAACUCCACCCUGGCACCCAGUGUCACAUCCAGGCUUUGUUAAACACACCCAGGGAUGGGGACUCCCCCACCUCCCCAGUCCCUGGGAAUUCCCAAAAUUCCCAGAAUUCACAGAAUUACCAGGAUAGAAGAGACCUCCAAGCCCAUCAAGUCCAACCCAGCCCCAACAACUCAACUCCACCCUGGCACCCAGUGCCACAUCCAGGCUUUGUUAAACACACCCAGGGAUGGGGACUCCACCACCUCCCCGGGCUG
rnacentral:lncRNA from 1 species